AUCGCUUCCCAGCCUUUUGGCUAAGAUCAAGUGUAGUAUCUGUUCUUAGCAGUUUAAUAAGAGAAGCAUCAUUUCAAGUGUAGGCUGCUUCCUACAGAAUUAUAGAAUGCAUUUUUGAUUCGCCUUAGAAAUAUCUUUUCACCAGCU
rnacentral:snRNA from 1 species